AUGGAAGCUCACAGGCAGCGGGAACGGCACUGGCCUCGCGAGGCUCGCGUACACCGGCCAGUGGGGCGGGCUCGGCGCCGACGCCUUCGCCGGCCCGUUCGUGGUGUCGGGGACGCGCAACCGGUUGGUGGUCACGGGGUGCAACCAGCAGGCCACGCUGCUCGGGGAAGGCGGCAACGUCAUCGUCGGUUGCUCCGCCUUCUGCCCCGUCACCGACACGUUUCUGAGCACGAUCUCCCCGGAGGAGGUCACCGCGUGCGCCGGCGUGGGCUGCUGCGAGACGCCCAUCCCCAUCGGCCGCCUUUCCUACAGCGUGCAGCUCGCGGGGCUGGACCUGAACCAGGAGAUGGACCUCCAGCUGCCUAUCGCGGUGCGCAUCGCCGAGACUGGCUGGUUCGAGGGCAACUCCGCCGGGCUGCUCAACAAGUCGCUCCAGGGCUCCUCCAGCACGACGGCGAUCUCCGUGGUGCUGGAGUGGGUGAUGGAGUCCAAGCGGCUCCUGCAACCCCAGGAUACAGCGACGGGCUGCCCACAGGAGGCGGCGAGGAGCGUGUGCCGGAGCAGCCGCAGCGCAUGCCUCAACGUCACCAACAACUACCGCACUGGCUACGUGUGCCAUUGCGAGGAGGGCUACGAGGGCAACCCAUACCUCGCCGGCGCCGGCGGAUGCCCGACAAGUUCAUGUGCUUCGGCAUCUGCGCCAACACGCUUGGAGCGUACCAGUGCCGGUGCCCGCCGGGCUCCCGUGGCAACCCCCAGAUCAAAGAUGGCUGCGUGAAAUCAUCUCUAGGUCUGGGUGUCGGCAUAGGAAUCGGCUGUGGUGCUGGCCUUCUACUCCUGAUACUUGGUGUCUUUUUUGUGACCCGGAAGCUGAAGCAGCAGAGGGCAAAAGUACUGAAGAAGAAAUUUUUCAGGCAAAACAGGGGGCAUCUGCUGCAGCAAUUGGUGUCGCAAAAGGCAGACAUCGCUGAGAGGAUGAUCAUCCCCUUGGUGGAGCUGGAGAAGGCCACCAAUAACUUUGACAAAGCUCGCGAGAUCGACGGAGGAGGGCACGGCACCGUGUACAAAGGGAUCAUGUCAGACCUGCACGUCGUGGCGAUCAAGAAGUCCAAGGUCGUGGUUCAGAGGGAGAUCGACGAGUUCAUCGACGAGGUAGCGAUCCUCUCGCAGAUCAACCAUCGGAACGUGGUGAAGCUCUUCGGGUGCUGCCUCGAGACGGAGGUGCCGUUGUUGGUGUAUGAGUUCAUCUCCAAUGGGACUCUUUAUGACCAUCUUCAUGUGGAAGAGCCUGAAGCAUCGUUGCCAUGGGUGGAGCGCCCGAGAAUUGCCACGGAGACUGCGAGAGCUUUCGCGUACCUUCACUCAGCCGUGUCAAUCCCUAUAGUCCACAGGGACAUCAAAUCUCAGAACAUGCUAUUAGAUGGCACUUUCAUAGCAAAGGUGUCAGACUUUGGAGCUUCGAGGUGCAUUCCAAUCGAUCAAACAGGGGACGCAACUGCCAUCCAAGGGACAUUUGGGUAUCUAGACCCCAUGUACUACUACUUCGGACAACUCACUGAGAAGAGUGAUGUUUAUAGCUUUGGCGUUCUCCUCAUGGAGCUGCUAACGAGGAAAAAACCGUGCUCAUAUCGAUCGUCUGAGGAGAAAAGCCUGGUUGCAUAUUUCACCGCCUUGCUCGCAACAGGCGACCUCGCCAGUUUGUUAGAUCCUCAGGUUGUGCAGGAAGGAGGCAAGAUGGUUGAAGAGGUAGCCCUAUUGGCAGCGGCAUGCGUGAGGAUGGAAGAGGGCCAACGGCCAACCAUGAGGCAAGUGGAGAUGACACUCGAGAACCUUCGAGUACCCCAUGGAAAUGUCGUGAUGUCUGAUAUGGAUGCACCAAGUUAUGCAAUGAUCGAGGGUGGAAAAACGGAGGAGGUGAGCAGACAAUAUAGCCAGGAAGAAGAAUAUUUGUUGUCAUCAAGAUACCCGAGGUAG
rnacentral:rRNA from 1 species